UACGUAGGCAGCGAGCGUUGUUCGGAGUUAUUGGGCGUAAAGAGCGCGUAGGCGGUCCGAUAAGUCGGCUGUGAAAGUCAUGGGCUCAACCCAUGAAAGCCGGCCGAUACUGUCGGACUAGAGUCCGGAAGAGGCAAGUGGAAUUCCCGGUGUAGCGGUGAAAUGCGCAGAUAUCGGGAGGAACACCAAUGGCGAAGGCAGCUUGCUGGGACGGUACUGACGCUGAGGCGCGAAAGCGUGGGGAGCAAACAGG
rnacentral:rRNA from 1 species